rnacentral:rRNA from 1 species
GAGGAACGCUGGCGGCGUGCCUAAUACAUGGAAGGCGAGCGAACAGACGAGAAGGUUGCUGCUCGGACGUUAGCGGCGGACGGGUGAGUAACACGUGGAUAACCUACCUAUAAGACUGGGAUAACUUCGGGAAACCGGAGCUAAUACCGGAUAAUAUAUUGAACCGCAUGGUUCAAUAGUGAAAGACGGUUUUGCUGUCACUUAUAGAUGGAUCCGCGCCGCAUUAGCUAGUUGGUAAGGUAACGGCUUACCAAGGCAACGAUGCGUAGCCGACCUGAGAGGGUGAUCGGCCACACUGGAACUGAGACACGGUCCAGACUCCUACGGGAGGCAGCAGUAGGGAAUCUUCCGCAAUGGGCGAAAGCUUGACGGAGCAACGCCGCGUGAGUGAUGAAGGUCUUCGUAUCGUAAAACUCUGCUAUUAGCGACGAACACAUGUGUAAGUAACUCUCCCCGUCCCUACGCUACCCACUCCCAAACUAACGGUUAACCCUGUC